CCCAUCCUGAUCAAAUAACACAGCAUCAUCUUGGAUAUGUGCGCCUCUGAAAAAAAGAAAAACAACAAAAAAAAGCCCUUUACUUAGUAUUGAUAUAUUUGAAGCUUGUGGUAUCCUAAUGCUACCUUGCCAAGUGAGAGCAUAAAAACAUUGGAAAUAUUUUCUAUUCAGAUAUAUUUCUACUGAGAUAGCAUUAAAAUAUGAUAUCAUUCUAGAAAGACUGAAUUUAACAGAAAAAUUAAGUUUCUGGGUGGAUCAGGGGUUACAAAGAGUUACUACAAAUAUGGGAUAAUAUUAUUAAGGAGCAGUUAUGAAGUGAUGCUCUGGCAUUCUUAAAUCAGUGUUAUGCUUACUAAUGUUGAGAGAGACCCAGCAUGAGUUUUGUGAUCAGUGAAAGGACUGGUGCAACAUAGAUCAAAUAACAUAUUUUAUAGUCUGCUAUUCCAUAGAUCCAACUCUGUGAACAAGAUACUUAAGUUGUGUCUGAUUUCAAUAUUGUUCUGAAAGAAUAAGGGUGAGGAAAUAAUAGCACUUUUGUAGUAGUAAUGGUAUUAGAAAUAUUAGAAGUAUUUAGAAGCAGUAACAGUAUUUUUGUUCGUGUCUGUAUGUAGAACAAAUGGGUGGAAACGAAGGAGUGAUCUAUGGUGCUGGAGAAGGUUUCACAUUAUGUGCUGAGCAGCACUCUAUGACGAUGUUUGCUAUUUGAAGGUAAUUCAUAGCACAGUACAGAUUUAGACUCAGUUCUAGUGUGAAUUUAGCUGGAUAGUGUGUACCUUUACUUGAGUAUAGUUUUACUAUUCAGUCUAAUUUUGUUUGUUUGCUUUCAGCUUUGCAUAAUUAAUUAAAAAGUCUGGUUAAUGCAAGAGAAACAGCAUGUCCAACUGUUUCUCACAGAUGUCAAUUGAAAUGAGCUAUCAAAUUAAUGUCAUAUGACAAUGACAGUUUUGUAAAUCAUCCUUUGACCUGAUUUGCCUCUGAAAGAGUUUAUGCCAAAAAUAUUUAUUCUAAUAUAGGCACAUACCGACCAUUUUUAUCCCACCCACAAGCAAUUUAUCCUCGAGUCUUAAUGUAGAAAAACUAUUUGGAAUUAGUUGGAAGUUUUGCUUGAUAAAGGAGUCUAGUUUUGACUGCUAAACCAGCCAGUCCCAGAAUCUAAUUUUUACUGUUAGUAUAAUAUAUUAUUAUAUUCUCUCUACUACUACUAUCAACAAUGUUAAUGAUGGCUACUGAUUACCUUCUGUAUUAUUAGGAAUAGGGAAUAUUUGUAAUUGUUUUCAACAAGUAGAAGCUUGAGGUCACGGAUCAACCAGUGUACUGCAAUGAAAGUGCAUUAACUCAUGGGUCAAAAUUCUCAUUUAAUAGCAAGAAGGCUCUAAAUUUUUUUUUCAGUGAAAUUUCCAUGUUUCUUUCAGAGUACUUUAUUCCUAGUAAAGGAAAACAUUUUUUAAUUAAGCAGAAGGAAUGUAAUCAUGGAAUUGUUACAUUUCUUUUAUGGAAGCUAAAAAAAUACACAGUAUAAUUAAAAAUAACAUAUGAUCAUUAAUGAAAAAGUCAUUGUCUGUCCCUGAUGCCAGAAUUCUUGCUUGACAAGAAAGAGGGAAGAAUCUGGCAUAUUAAAAGAAGCUGUUUAUUGAAAAAUAUUAAAAUAUACUAGAAGUUUCAUUUUCAUACAUUAUAUGAUUUAAUACCAUCCUACAAAAGAAAAGAAAAAAAUGUGUUUUUACCUUUUUUUGAGUCUUUAGGGUGAAGAAAGAAGGCAGGAAUUGUUUGGCAGAUAUUUUAGAUUGUUUGCUUUAAAGUUGGUUUUUGUGCUUGUUUUUAACUGAGAACUAUCAUGAAUAAGAAACAGUUGUUUCUCUGUUUUUUUUCCUGGAGGAUCCCUUUGUCUCAAGAGGACUAGAAAGGAAUCUUUCACAAAGAUUUUCUCUCAGUUGUGGUAUUGCUGAUGUCAAGCAUGCAAAAAUCGUGAGUCAGCACUCCAAAAGUCACGAGACUGCAUUUUAAAAAAAGUGAUCUUUUAAAAUAUAUGUAUGGCACUCUUUUUUGAGCCUUUAUGGUAGAUGUAUGGCAUAUUUUUAUACUUUUUAUGCAAACUGAAAUCUUAUUUUUCAAAACAAAACAGAAAAAAGAAGAAACAGAUGAGCUUUCUCAAAAAUUUGCAUGACUCCCAGAAAUGGGUGUCUGAAGAAUGUUUGAAACAUUACAAACAUUGCGACGUAAUUGCAGGUGUUGGCAACAUGGCAAUUAUUUGUGAGAACUUUGAUCUAAAUUGAGGUCAAUAAAAACAAAUGAAAAAAAUGACUGAAAGAAAAGCAAAGAAACCUUCCUUCGCAUUUCAGAAGCUUGGGCUGCUGUAAUACCAUUUGUUUAGCAGUCCUCCCAAGAAAUCCUCCAGCUCAAAUUCAGGAGAAUAGGCCUCGUGUAUUUAAGGUUAAAUAAAAAGACGUAUACACAUCUGAUUACCAGAUACAAGAUAUAGUCAGAUAAUGACGAAUAACACUUUGAUUUUGGCAAAAAAAGAAUAGGCAAACUAGUACAGACGCUGCUGUUACAAAGAUAUAAGACCUUUACCACAGUUUAAAAGACAAAGACUAUUUGAAUCUAACAACAUGGUUUCUGGCCAGAAAAAGCUACAAUUAUUUUUAAAAAUGUCACCUCAUUCACAUUCAGUGAUCACAGAAAAUGGAAACAUUUUAAGGAGUAAUUGUAAACAUCUGCUAAAGAAAAAACGAAAACAUGACUAAGACAGAAAUGAGUUGCCAACAUAAAGUAUUGUGUGAACAGAUCCACCAGAAAAACACCAUUUCUGUGGAUGGGUUCUAUUUGGAAUGUGAAAAAAUUGAUGAUUAUAAAGAAGAUCAGAAUCCACCUAAAAAACAUUUCACUUUAAGUCAGUCUGGCCGUCUACUCAAAUGUCAAGGAAUGUGGCUACACUUGCAUUUCUGCAGCAGCUUCAGCCCCUGCUGCUUCUCCUGCCGUGUUCCAACAGAAGCGUAUGCACAGGCACAGUGAACUGGACUCAAACUAAUCUAACAAUUUUAUUCCUUUCUUUUUCAGCUGGGUUAUUUUGCAACUGGAUCAGUAAGGAAAAAGUCAAUGGCAGUGCGGAUGGUGAUGAUAGCUCAUACAGGAGUGCGGCUAGCUUUCUAACCAUUGCCUUGAAAUACUGAUUUCAAACUUUGGUGCUGUAAUGACAACAUCAGUGAAGGUUGAAGAACCCAAAACGAAACCUAUUUCCCAGCUCUGGAAUCCCCACUAUUGAUAGAAGAUGAUUCCGCAUAAAGAAUACAGGUUCCUUCAACCAAGCUUCUUUUCCAGAUUGGAGAUGAAACGCACAGGUGGAGAGUCAACUGCCUAAUUGUUAUAAGGCUAAAUAUUUUUUCACUUGCUUAAGAUGUAAUAAGUCCUGGAGUGCUCUCCGCUUACACAAGAGGAUUUCAGCGCAGAGGCGUGCUCGAGAAAGGUGUUUGUGUAGAAGAGGGAAAAAUUCUGCAGGUUAAAGUCACUAAAUGAAAACCGGCUAUGUUUGGUGGGCAGUUAUUCUCUGAAGCUGACUGACAGAGGAACCCAUUUAUGAAAAAGGAAACAAUAGAAGUACAGCAUCACAACAGCAGCAGAAACCAACUCACUGGAGACGGCAGAUGAACAGAACACUAGUAGUUAUGGUUAAUAUUUAGUCAUUCUCAAUAACAGCUUGUCCCAGUGUGGGGAGGAGCUGGAAAAUACCCAUGAGUGCUCUCAUCAACUGUGGUUAGCUCAACAGAGGCCUCUGCUGAGCAAAUAGGAACUGCCUGAGACAAGCUCAAAAACAUGCCGAGCAUCUCACCUUCACAUACCUUUAUAAGGACCAUAUAGUACUCCUCUUACAGGCAAUUUUGUGAGGAAAGAAAAUUCCAAAGGGACAGAUAAGUGUGAAUAGAUCUGUCUUAUUUCUAUGGAAAAAAAAAAAAAAAUCAAGAGCUGUGCCUUAUGAAAUAAGAAUGUUCACACAUGGUUUGCAAUUAGAGAUUAUUUUAUAUAUUUUGCUGUAAUUUUGUUUAUUAAAGGUUCAAAAGUUAUUUGAGCAAUUGUACCAGAGAGAAUGUGAUUUGCAUUAAGAUUUAAAGUAUACCUUUGGAUCAUUUCAAACUGUCUUCUGUCUUUGUUUAACUGAAUAUGCCAUGCUGAAACUGAAUCAAACCAUUGAUUUAUCAGAAGUGCUUUAUUCUUCACUCUAGAUCUAUGCAGAUCUAAGCUAUAAACCAGGAAAGCAGUAAAAAGUUGCAUUUGUAAAUAUUUUAGAGAAGACUGUUGUUCUGUGGAGCUUUAUGCUGUUUUCUCUGGUGCUAUUGAGUGCUUUGUAGAAGCUCAUUUGGGAAAUGUAUUCUUUGAUUUUGGUAAUCAAUUGAUCAACAUUUGAAGCUUUUCUCAGACACACAGUUAUUGUGAAGAGCAGUACUUUCAAAUACCCAUUUGAUUGUGUUUGUGAUGUUUGCUUUAUUCGACUCUGCUCCAGGCAAAUUAAAAUGUACUGCUAUAUAAUAAGUAUGGGAAGGUUAGCAUUCACACUUUAGGGAUAAAACAUUUUGACAGUUCUAUUCUACAUUUGCAUUUAAAAAUUUUAACGCUUUUGAUUAGACCCUAUGUUUAUCGUAGGAUCUCUUGUAGGCAUUACUACUGUGAGAUUGUUACCUUUCAGGAUUUGUUCUGGACUGCUUCUCUGUGGGGAAGCACAAAAGCCUGCUGGUUCCACAUACAUCUUGUUUUCUGGUCCAUGGUAUGUCUCAUUUUCUUUAAUUUCUCAUGGGGGUCCACCUGUAUCGCUACUGCUGAGUCAUUCUCAUUUCUUUCUGAGAUUUUUUGAUGUGCAGAGUUAGGGAAAGACAUAUGCAUAGGUCUCUCUUACAUGCUUGGUAUAUUUUUCCUACUGGUCUCCAAAUUCUCAAUUUUUGGUGCACAGUAGAAUCCCCAAGGGGACAGAGGCAGACAUUGUCUGGAGAGAGACAAGAGAUAUUGCCACGACAUCCAUUAUUAUUUUAGCCAGUGGACAGGUGAUACUUAAACACAGCAUAUGCACAGACAAUGGUCAACAUUCUGAGCUCAUGAAAACCAUCACUGACACAGGCUGAUGUCUGAAGGACUGGUCACUAGAACUGUCCAUGUUAUUUGCUCCCCUUUUAUUUUAUCCUUCGUCUUUCUGUAUUAGUAACGUUCAGGAGGGAUUCAGAUAACCUGAUGGAACGUCUACAACAUUGCUAUCACCAAGAAACAUUCACUGAGGUAAUAAGGCAAAUGUACACUGUCUCAAGAGGUUUGUGUGUAAAUUAGACCCAGCGACAGAAAAAAAAUCCCAAACCAAAAAACAAACUGGCUAGAUACUUCAGACUUUUCAGAAGAGCAGAGAGAAGCAAGAAAACAUUGUAGGUUUUACCAGGAAAAUCUAUUUGAGCUGAAAUAAGGUCUUCUCCCUUAUAGUUUAGCCAGUCCCUAGAGACUUUGUGUAAUUAUUAUUAGAUUUACCUUGGGAAGGAUAUGGACUUAGGUGGAACCAGAAAUCUUGUGCGGUGAAUUCUCCGGGAACUCCUUCCUGCAUUAGGCCCCAUUACUCUGGCUCCAAAGCCCAGGAAACUCAAACACCCUCAUAGACUGCUGCUCUUUUCCAUACCUCCCUUUACUUCUGGGAGCUGUUUCUUCUGACUCAGCAAUAAAUAGCAGAGAAGAGAAGUACUCUGGGGAUUCAGACAUAUGAUAUGUACAAAGUCAUGCUUUCUGAUUGUGAAGGGGACCACAAGUAAAUCCUCCCUGUGCACCCACAUUGGGUCUUGCAUUGAAAAACAUCAAAAUCUGAAUUAUACAGAGGCUAUGCAGCACUAUGGGUAAGAACAUUGGCCUUUCACGUCUUAUUAUGUUGUUAAUUAGUUAAUGUUUGUAAAGCACUUUGAAGAUGAAAAGCCCUAUAUAAGUUCUAAGUGUUAUUAUCUCUAGAGACCUGGGUUCAAUUCAAAGGUGCUUAAUUACAUAUGCCAUAAAUUAGACUUAAUGAGUUGUGGAAUCAUAUGCUUUAUGUGAUGCAUGCAGGUUUCUCAGCUAGAUCUAGGCCUUAUGGUGUGCUGCAGUACUUCUUUAGGUAUUCAGAGCUGUUAAGAAAAAUUACACAAAAAUAGAGCAGAUAAUUUCUAAAAAUAAUUGGACUGCAUUUCAGUACUAUUUAGGACUUGGUGAAGCAAAUUACCAGGAGCUUUGCUCUGCUGUAUCUAGUGAAUUUCUAGUAACCAACUUCAAAUUGCUGAAGGUAACAUCAUUGUUUUUAAAUUGUGGUAUAGACAUGAUUCUAAUUUUUACUUCUGUCCCAUAUUUUGACUUAGCAGAAGGGAGCUGAGAGAUAUUAGUAUGACUGCUGUCCUUCCAGUGAUGCCCUGAAAUGUCCCAUCAGGGCUGGGGACCUCUUGGUGUUGGGUUAUGUUCACAAGCAUAAGAAAAGAAGUUCCCAGCUCUAGAGAUACUAUCAUAUAAUUUACAGCAAACCAUUACAAGCAGUAAGUGCAAAAAGGGGAAGUAAUGGUUAUAGGAAAAUGUGGUUUCAUCGGCUUUGCAGAGCUGAGAGUUUCCAUGUUAUGUAAGUUAUAUAUUUUGUGGCCAGAAAGCUACAGAAUUUGCCCCACUCAAGCCCAGGCAUGAGGGUGUCUGUCCAGCAAUGAGUGCAGACAGCUAGCUGCUCCUGGUUGUUCCUCAACCAGCAGUGUUCAGAGACGCAGAAAACCAGCAGGAUCGUUCUCCUGUCCUAAAGUGCCUCCCACGUGUUCCUGCAGCAGAAUAUCUCCAUUUUACCUUGGGCCUUUCACAGGCACAGAGAGAGAGGCAGGAUUUAUCCUGCGUAUAAAUAUGUUAGAAGUGAUUGUGUUCAUUAGUACAACCUAAGUAGAUUGGAAAAACUAAUUAAUAGCAAUUUACUAUAAGUGUCUCUAACAGACUUACUUGAAAGUAUUUAUCCUGAAGUGAAAGUCAUUUGAUUUCAUUAAUGUUUAUUGUAAGCAUAUGCAGGCUAUCUUCCAGGGGAAAAUGUAUUUUUGAGUACUCCAGACAAUUGAAACUAGUGAGCCCACUGUCUGGAGAAAGCAUCUGUAACCACAGCCAAAAGAGGAACGAGAUUUCCGACAUUCUUUCAAGACAUGUGUUUGAAGCAUGGGUUCCCACCACUUUCAGAGUGACUUGCAGGCCAUUUUCUUUAUAUAGAUUUAGACAAGUCAAUGUGGUCCUAGAUUCAUCUUGAUAAAUGCCUUUGUGAUUUCUCCCUUGUCCGUUUUCUCCUGUGUUAUUCUAUUGCUUAUUUCAAAUAGGACUAUGUUCUCAAGAAACUUUAAAUGGGACAAAGCAUAGUUUUGGACUGUUUUUUGCCACUCACAUUUCUGUACUUCUAAGAAAUGAAUCUAGUCUUAGACCUUAAUUACUGGGGUGCAUCUCCUUCAAAAACAAGAUCAGUUUUGUUGAAUACUUUUCAAAUACUCUAAUAAAUAAGAACUUCACAUGAAUGCUGAUUUGAGUUCCAGGCUGUGGUUAAAUGUUUUAAUAGUGUAGCAAACUUAUCAGCAAACCUUUCCUUCCCCACCCUACCCCCUUCCCUUUUUACAAUGAACAGAUUUUUAUCCGACCGGCUCGUGACUUGGGGAUUUUUACAAGCAGGUUUGGGAACUUGUCCAAUAUUUUGAAAUUUGAGCCUGAAAACAACAACAAAAUCUUUGAAAAAUGGUGUUUUAAAUAGUGUGUAUCAACUGGAUAAAAUUUUGACUUGCUGAAGUACACACAGGAUUCUGUUGUCUGAGCUAACUAUCUCAACUGGAAGUUACCCAUCUGAUUCCUUUUUUUAAUACUCCAAGACACCAUAUAUACUAGCAUAACUCCAUUGAGGUACCAAAUCAAUGGAGCUGUAAGACCCUCUUCAUUUCUGAACUACUAUAGCCUUUUGUCAAAAGGCGGUAAGUAUAUUCACAUUGUUAUUAUUUCAUCUGGGCAUUUUAAGUCUGUCUCUUUUC